GGGGAUUUGGCUCAGUGGUAGAGCGCUUGCCUAGCAAGCUCAAGGCCCUGGGUUCAGUCCCCA
rfam:Rattus norvegicus chromosome 2, whole genome shotgun sequence.